UGAAGCAGCUGGAGGUCCUGGAAGUCUGAUUCUUACCUUGAGAGUCCCCUCCCACAGGCAAUGCGCACCCAGGCACCGGAGGGCAGAGGUCCAACAUCCUCAUACCCACCAGUCAGUCCACCCCUUCUCUGGUCCAAGAGCAUCUAGAAGAUACAAGGCACUCCAUUCUCCGAAAUAUUCCAACAGGACAAAACGCUGCCAAUCACUGCUCCCUCCAACCCUGUGAAGAGACUCGCGUCUAACAGACUGCGCUGGGCUGACUCCCCAUCAUGCAAGGCCACCUUAGUCUCCCCACACUCUGCUGCUUCCUUCUCCCUUGGGCCUUCACCACUUUCCACAAAGCCCUGGGGGACCCAGCACCCCACCCUGGCCCCCACUACCUCCUGCCCCCCAUCCACGAGGUCAUUCACUCUCGUCGUGGGGCCACGACCACGCUGCCCUGCGUCCUGGGCGCCCAGCCUCCCAGCUACAAGGUACGCUGGAGCAAAGUGGAGCCAGGGGAGCUCCGGGAAACGCCGAUCCUCAUCACCAACGGACUGCACGCCCGGGGCUACGGGCCCAUGGGGGAGCGCGCCAGGAUGCGGAAGGGGCAUCGGCUAGAUGCCUCCUUGGUUAUCGCGGGCGUGCGCCUGGAGGACGAGGGCCGGUACCGCUGUGAGCUCAUCAAUGGCAUCGAGGACGAGAGCGUAGCGCUGACAUUGCGCCUGGAGGGUGUGGUGUUUCCGUACCAGCCCAGCCGGGGCCGGUACCAGUUCAAUUACUACGAGGCGAAGCAGGCGUGCGAGCAGCAGGACGGACGCCUGGCCACCUACGCUCAGCUGUACCAGGCGUGGACCGAGGGUCUGGACUGGUGUAACGCGGGCUGGCUGCUCGAGGGCUCUGUGCGCUACCCUGUGCUCACUGCGCGCGCUCCGUGCGGUGGGAGAGGUCGGCCGGGGAUCCGCAGCUAUGGGCCCCGCGACCUGAAGCGCGACCGCUACGAUGCUUUCUGCUUUACUUCAGCACUGGCAGGCCAAGUGUUCUUCGUGCCCGGACGGCUGACUCUGUCUGAAGCCCAUGCGGCGUGCCGGCGGCGUGGGGCCACGGUGGCCAAGGUCGGACACCUCUACGCCGCCUGGAAGUUCUCGGGGUUGGACCAAUGCGAUGGAGGUUGGCUGGCGGAUGGCAGCGUGCGCUUCCCCAUCACCACACCGCGGCCGCGCUGCGGGGGCCUUCCGGAUCCCGGAGUGCGCAGCUUCGGCUUCCCCAGACCCCAGCAGGCGGCCUACGGGACCUACUGCUACUCGGAAUAGGGGCCAACCGCACCCCCUCCAGGGAGCGCGGGAGGGACAAAGUCUAAGUAAGUCGUGGCAGGGGUCUCUCUCUGCCUCUUUUCCGCGAGCCUCCCCUUCCAUCAGACGUAGAGCGGCCCCUCCUUACCUGUCUUCCCAGCCGGGCGCUUCGGGCCAAGGAUCCCGGCUGGCCGGGCGUCGGGGAGAGAGGGUGGUGGCGCCCCUGGUGGCGGAGCGCCGCUACAACCCUCGGACCUGCAGCGGUUCGCGUGCCCCUAGCCGACCUCGCAGCCCCUACUAGGCAGCAGGAGGGGCGUCCAGGGGGCAUUAACUGGCUUCUGUAUACAGCAAUAAAAUAACUUUAGGACAUUUUGUGUUGGGCGAAGCUGUAAGCGCGGCGAGGUGUCGGGGGUUGAGGGGGAUAACCUUGCACCCAGCGUGCUGACGGCGCGCCUAGGAAGACAGAAUAAGAGGAAGCUCCACUGCUCCUGAGGAGUGAGCCUGCAAGAAAGGGAUUUCAAGGAGCAGGCAACAAAAGGUGGCAGGAGAGUUGGAGACACCGCCCACUGUGAGAACCCUGGGUGGUGGUGUGCCAGGCACCACGCGGGGGCGCCACACACUCACCUAAGACUGCUCUAGCUCAUUUGCCAGGAGCGCUCCAAACCCCCAGGCUUAGCCCCUGGGCACCACGGAACAAAUAUAAGGUGGACCUAAACAUACUUCAAAAUGUGUUUGUCUCCUGCCAGUCUCCGAGAAGGGUUUGCAGGAUUACUACUAAAGGAGGAUACAACGAAAAGACGAUCAUCUGUGAAUCAGGAAGUGUGCCGUCUCCAGACACCAGAUCUGCUGGCCUCCAGUACCGUGAGAAAUAAAUGUUUGUUGUUUGAGCCACCCA